rnacentral:rRNA from 1 species
CCUACGGGGGGCUGCAGUGAGGAAUAUUGGUCAAUGGGCGGAAGCCUGAACCAGCCAAGUAGCGUGCAGGAUGACGGCCCUACGGGUUGUAAACUGCUUUUAUACGGGAAUAACGCGCCUUACGUGUAGGGCUUUGCAUGUACCGUAUGAAUAAGGACCGGCUAAUUCCGUGCCAGCAGCCGCGGUAAUACGGAAGGUCCGGGCGUUAUCCGGAUUUAUUGGGUUUAAAGGGAGCGUAGGCGGGAUGUCAAGCGUGCUGUGAAAUGUCCGGGCUCAACCCUGGCCUUGCAGCGCGAACUGGCGUGCUUGAGUCCGCGGAAGGCAGGCGGAAGUCGGCGUGUAGCGGGGAAAUGCUUAGAUAUGACGAAGAACCCCGAUUGCGAAGGCAGCUUGCUGCAGCGGAACUGACGCUGAUGCUCGAAGGCGCGGGUAUCGAACAGGAUUAGAUACCCCAGUAGUC